GUCGAGAAUCUUUCACAAUGGGGGCAACCCUGAUGGAGCGACGCCGCGUGGAGGAUAAGGUCUUCGGAUUGUAAACUCCUGUCAUGCGUGAACAAGGUUGCUUGGUUAAUACCUGGGCAAAUUGAUGGUAACGCAAGAGGAAGAGACGGCUAACUCUGUGCCAGCAGCCGCGGUAAUACAGAGGUCUCAAGCGUUGUUCGGAAUCACUGGGCGUAAAGGGUGCGUAGGAGGCGUGGUAAGUCAGAUGUGAAAGCCCGGGGCUCAACCUCGGAACUGCAUCGGAUACUGCCAUGCUAGAGUACUGGAGAGGUGACUAGAAUUCUCGGUGUAGCAGUGAAAUGCGUAGAUAUCGAGAGGAAUACCAAAGGCGUAGGCAGGUCACUGGACAGUUACUGACACUGAGGCACGAAGGCCAGGGGAGCGAACGGGAUUAGAAACCCUUGUAGUCC
rnacentral:rRNA from 1 species